rnacentral:rRNA from 1 species
UACAGAGGGUGCAAGCGUUGUUCGGAAUUAUUGGGCGUAAAGCGCGUGUAGGCGGCGUGGCAAGUCGGGUGUGAAAGCCCUCAGCUCAACUGAGGAAGUGCGCCCGAAACUGCUGUGCUUGAGUGCCGGAGAGGGUGGCGGAAUUCCCCAAGUAGAGGUGAAAUUCGUAGAUAUGGGGAGGAACACCAGUGGCGAAGGCGAGUCUCUGGACGACUCCUGACACUGAGGCACGAAAGCUGGGGGAGCAAACAGG